UACAGAGGUCCCAAGCGUUGUUCGGAUUCACUGGGCGUAAAGGGUGCGUAGGUGGUGGGGUAAGUUUGAGGUGAAAGCUCCGGGCUCAACCCGGAAAUUGCCUUGAAGACUAUUCCGCUAGAGGGUCGGAAGGGAGACUGGAAUUCUCGGUGUAGCAGUGAAAUGCGUAGAUAUCGAGAGGAACACCAGUGGCGAAGGCGAGUCUCUGGACGACACCUGACACUGAGGCACGAAAGCCAGGGGAGCAAACGGG
rnacentral:rRNA from 1 species